GUCCCUCGUAGUCCUUGCGGAGUACCAAUCUCAGCGUUCAGCGUGGAAGAUGACAAUACAAGGAGAUGGUAAAACAAUCCUUCUUAGGGCCACUGCCCUCGCCCUUUGUUGUGACUCUACCGGCUGUUCUCAAUAUAAUUAUGACCACUUCCGGUAGAGCCGCAUGCCUGCUCCGCGACGUGCACGCGGCGAGAGCUCAGGAGCAGAAAAUGUAGCGCUCUCUACGUCUGUUCUUUUUAUAGUUGCCAUGUUUCGGUUGAAAUGUAAUCGUUCUGUAGCAGAUAACGUCUAGUGUUUUUGUAUUGGUCGUUGGUGGAGCGCAAAGUGCGAAUCACGUGACACAAUCUUCCACGCCAGCUAACUAUUCAGUCAAGUCGCUGCAGUCCAAGGAUAAAGACGGGAACAGAAAAGAGAGACGAUUUCCAAGCAGAAAAAUGGCGCCAGAACACUGGGAAGGAUCUAUGAAGCACGGCAUUCGUUGUUCUGGUUGAAAUGUAAUCUCCCACUGGUCGCUGAUGGUAAUCACAUGACAUCUUUCGCGCCAGUCGAAAAAGAGCGCGAAGAGGGGAACAAAGAUGAGAGCGAUUUUCGCGGGAGAAGAAAUGGCACCAGGACACUAGAAAGGUAACAAAAUUGGGCCUAUGAAGCACGACAUUAGCAGACAUCAUUGUUACCAAGUUUGGUUGAAAUGCAAUCUCGAAUUGGUCGCUGGUUGGAGUGUAAAGUGGUAAUAACAUGACAUCUUUUCACUAGUCGAAAAAGAGGUGAUUUUCGUGGAAGAAGAAAUGGCGCCAGGACACUAGGAAGGGCCUAUGAAGUACGACAUUAGCAAACAUCAUCGUUACCAUGUUUGGUCGAAAUGUAAUCUCGAAUUGGUCGCUGGUGGAGUGUAAAGUGGUAACCACAUGACAUCUUUUCACACUACUUAAAUAGCCACUGCUAUCCGAGGAAAAAAGAGCAUGAAGAGGGGAACAAUGAAGAGAACGUUUUUCGGGGGGAGAAGAAAUGGCACCAGCACACUAGGAAGGUCCUAUGAAGCACGACAUCAGCAGACAUCAUCAUUACCAUGUUUGGUUGAAAUAUAAUCUCGCACUGGUCGCUGUUGGAGUGUAAAAUGGUAAUCACAUGACAUCUUUUCAUGUUAGUCACUGCUGUGUGAGGAAAGAGCAUGAAGAGGGGAACAAAGAAGAGAGCUAUUUAUGGGGAGAAGAAAUGGCACCAGGACACUAGGAAGACAUGAAGAGUUAAACUUUAGUCUGAUGGAAAUGUGAGAUGGUGCCAGUCCUUGCAUAUCUCUUCUACCUUCAAUCAACUACAAAUAUCAUUUAUUUGUCUUAUGAAGGUGACAUUGGCAGAUGGUGCUGCAUUUAAAUCUGCAUGAAUGGAUAAGAGAGAUUAUACAGUGUGAUGCAGGAAAUUUUAAAGCAGUUUAAAAUACCCAAUGAAAUUAGAUGAGAAGUUGUUGUAAAUAUCAAGUUUGAAUUGAAGAAAAGGAGUGAACAUGAACAGUGCAGAAAUUUCUAGAUUCCCAGAAUGUUUUAAACCAGUUAUAUUGAGGAGACAAGUUUAUGACAAUACAGUGAAUCAGACAGAAGUUUCAAGUUUGGGGGAACAUCCAACUGUUGUGAAUAAAAGAUGGUAACCAAGAAUGUUUAUACCAAAGAGACUAAGAGACUAUGGAGCUUACGAUAAAGUAAAUUCAACAAAACCUUGGGAAACAAAUGGAAGUCAUUAAUGAAAGAACACAGUUAUCAAACAGAAGACAGAAACUGCAGCAGGUGUUUCUGGAACAUCAGCAAAUAUUUUUAUUUUCUGGAGAAACCAGUAGCCUCACAGACAAUAAAUUCAGUACAAAUUAUUUUGCUUAACACUAAACUGAAAGAGCACAAACCAUGAACAGGUAAAUUGAUAAGAAUAAACAUGUCAGUUUUCUAUAUAAACAAAUACAGACUAUGAGGUUGCAAAAUUUCAAAGUAAGAACUGGCAAAUUGAACAAGUAAGUGUUAUUUUGACCUAUAUAUAGUGUUCAACUUGUGCAAAUUAUUGAAUAACUAUUGCUCCAAGAGAUGUAUAAUGUCGUUGAUUAAACUUUUUAUAACGUA